rnacentral:rRNA from 1 species
UACGAGGGGGCGAGCGUUGUUCGGAAUCACUGGGCGUAAAGAGUGCGUAGGCGGUUAUAAAAGUUAGGAGUGAAAGCCCCAGGCUCAACUUGGGAAUUGCUCUUAAUACUGUAUAACUCGAAUUCGGGAGAGGAUAGCGGAAUUCUCAGUGUAGCAGUGAAAUGCGUAGAUAUUGAGAGGAACACCAGUGGCGUAAGCGGCUAUCUGGACCGACAUUGACGCUGAGGCACGAAAGCUAGGGGAGCAAACAGG